rnacentral:lncRNA from 1 species
AAGAUUGUUCACCAUUGGUUGAUGAACCAUUUGACUUUUUAUCUCCUUCUUCUUCUCAACAAAAUUCUUUAUUUCUUCCCUCACAUCCGGUGGACAUUUAGGACAACUUGUCACGUUUCUAUCGCCACCAAUUAGAUGGUAUUUAAAGCGAUAAAUUUCACCCGUUGUAACCUUGUUGCAAAAGAUGCAUACAACAUUUGUAUUCUUCCCAUCAACUCUUUGGCCAUAUCGCCAAGCCGGGUCUUUCUCUUCCGAACUUUGAGACAUUUAAUUAUCCCUAUUAAGAUAUAAGCGAAAAAAUAAUUAAUAAACUGAAAAUAAACUGAAAUACACUGAAAAUACACUGAAAAUACACUAAAAUUAAACUGAAAAUACACUGAAAUUAAACUGAAAUUAAAAAUAAUAAUACAAUAAUUAUAUAUAUAUAUAUAUAUGCUACUGCUACAGUACCAUUUAAAAAAAAUGAAAAGAACUGGACAAAAAACUAAUGAAAAAGAAUAAAGUGAAACUGUGAAACAGAGAGCUCGUCGUCGACGUCGGUCGACGCUGAUCGAACAUGAAAAAAAAAUGAAAAAACGAUGGAAAAGCUCGUCGUCGACGUCGACAGAGAGAAAGAAGAAGAAGAUGGAAGAAGAAGAUGAAGAAGAAAGAAAAAACAAGAAGAAAGGAGAAGAAAAAAUACCUGGGUAUCUCGUCGGUCGUCGGUGAAGAUGGAAACCCUAAUUUCCGUCGUUGGUCGAGCUCUGUUUUUGGGUAUCUCGUCGGUCGUCGGUCGUUGGUCGUCGAUCGUUGGUGAAGAUGGAAACCCUAAUUUCCGUCACUGGAGAAGAAGAGGGGACGUUGGUCGAGCUCUUUUUUCAAUUUCAGUCAAUGGAAAGUGGAAACCCUAAUUUCCAGAACUGGGUCGAUCUCUGUUUUUAACUAAACGAUCGAUUUUUUCAGGUAAUCGAUUGCUUCUCUCGCUUCGGUCGCGUCGCCUCGCCUCGCUUUUCACUGUUAAGCGAGCGCUUCAUGGGUCGAUCUCUGUUUUUAACUUAACGAUCGAUUUUUUCAGGUAAUCGAUCGCUUCUCUCGCUUCGGUCGCGUCGCCUCGCCUCGCCUCGCUUUUCACUGUUAAGCGAGCACUUCUGGUGGUCGCAUCGCUUUAGGCAGUAAAAAUCGGCAACUGGUCGCCUCGAGUCGCUUUGCGCUUUAAGCGACGAAGCGCUCGCUUUUCACAACACCGUCAUGAAGAUGAUACAACUUGUCUUUGUAGUAUUCUUGUUCACAUGGUUUGUCAACCCAUACCNN